AAAAAAAUUAUUAUUUUCUUUUUCAAACUCUAACAAAUUUAUGGGAAAAUUGAAUGUUCCAUAUUCUUAUCCUUAGAAUGGAAAUGCUGGGCUAUUAUGGGAAAAGAAAUAUUGACAAAUAGUCUCACAAGUAUACGACGAAAAUGAUUCUUCUCUUUAAGGACAAAAGCAAGACCUAAGAAAGUAUACCACAAAGGGUAGAGUAAAGUGAAGCAAACUCAAGGGUUUUCUUGUAAUGGGAAUGAGUGAGUGUGAGAGUAGGACAGAGGGGGAGACCAUGGAACUUCAACAUUUCAGUCAUCCACAUCCUUUGGUCUUCUUCAAAUGUCAGACUGUUGCAAGCGAAGAAGUAGACCCAGAAGCAGCUCUUUGCCUUGGGUGUGAGAAACCUGUAGAGGGCUGGAGCUAUGGUUGCAAUCAAUGUGAGUUUUAUCUUCACAAGGGAUGUGCUGAGUUAGAGUUAGCCCCCAAGAUUCAGCAUCCCUUCCACCCCAAACACCCUCUCACUCUUCUGCCAAAUUCAGAUCGUUAUAUGUCAGGAAUUUGCGAUUUGUGUGGUAAGAAAUUUGGAGGAUUUGUUUAUAAUUGUAGUGAUUGUAGUUUCGAUCUGCACAUCAAUUGUGCUUUGCUUCAAUCAUCCAUUGCUGCAAAUUUUCCUAAUUCUUUGCACCCCCAUCCUUUGUUAUUCAUUCAAAAUCAUAACAACGAAAUCGAGCCUCAUUGCUCCGGAUGUCAGAAACCAAUAUCUGGUCCAAUUUACCACUGCUCAGAUUGCACAUAUACUAUUUUUAACCUUCAUAAGGAAUGUGCUGAACUACCCCUUGAGAUUAAUCACCCCUAUGACCGUAAGCAUCCUCUUACUCUCUUGCCACAACCGCCUACUCAUCCCCAGAAAUGUAGUUGCUAUUUGUGCAGAAUCCAAUGGAAGGGGUUUGUUUAUUCCUGCUCUUUAUGCAACUUUGAUCUUUCACUUGAUGAUUUUCUUUUUUCACCACCAACAAUCACAGUUGCAAGUCAUGAACACCCGUGGAUGCUUAUAUCUAGAAAAAUGUCGUUUGUUUGUGAUUUUUGUGGCACUGACGGAGAUCACUCCCCUUAUCACUGUGAUACCUGUGUGCUUUUUGUCCACAAGAAUUGCAUUUCAUUGCCACGCCACAUCAUGAUAACACGACAUAGUCACAGGAUUUCUCUUUCCUAUUCUCUUCGACAAAUUCAAGUUGAGGAUUGGAUGUGAAAAAUUUGUUACGAGGAAGUUGAUAUAAGGUAUGGCAGUUACCGUUGUCCUGCUUCUCGUUGCCGUUAUAUUGCUCAUGUACGUUGUGCAACUGAUAGAGAAAUUUGGGGUGGAACAAUUAUGCCGGAAGGCUAUGAUGAGAGGUCUGAGGAAGUGGUGGAUGAACCUUCGAAUUUGAUUACUGAUGUUGUUGAACAAAUUCGUAUUGGAGAGCUAAUGGUAGCAAGUGAGAUCAAGCAUUCCUAUCAUGAUUAUAAUUUAAGACUCACUUUUAGUGGGAAGACCAAAGAUGAUGAUAGUGAGUGCAAUGGGUGCACCAACUCCUUUUUAUAGUUGUGAGCAAUGCAAGUUCUUUCUCCACAGAGAUUGCGCUGAAUUGCCUAAAGAAAUGCCACACCCAUUUCACAUGCAUUUGCUUACUCCCUCAAACUCACACAUUAAUGGAUAUGGUUAUUCAUGUUGCCAUGCUUGCUUUCGUGCGUAUCAAGGAUUUAGCUACAGAUGCUACAAAGGUUGCAGCUUCGAAAUUGACGCGUAAUGUAUGUUAUUAUCGGACACCUUGAAGCACGCAAGUCAUAAGCAUUCACUAUUUUUUGUCCACAACAACGAGGGAUCGAGUUGCAGUGCUUGUUUCAAAAGACAACGCUGGUGGAAUGGUGCAUAUAGAUGCAUGAGGCGCUGUGAUUUCAGUUUAGAUGUAGGUUGUGCAACACUACCACUCACUGCUUGGUACAAGUAUGACAGGCAUGCUCUUACUUUGACUUUUUCUGAUGAUUCUGAGGCUUCUCAACUUUACUGUGAUUUCUGCGAGAAAGAAAGAGAGCCAAAUAGUUGGUUUUAUUACUGUGCUGAGUGUGAUAACUCUCUUCAUCUCAAUUGUGCUAUUGGGGAUGACCCAUAUAUGAAGCUUGGGAACAAAUUGGAAGAUCCUGGGCAUAAACAUUCAUUCACUGUUGUGAAAAACAUCUGGAAUUGCCCUCCAUGUAAGGUAUGUGGUGAGGUUUGCAAUAGGCAGGCCUUAGAAUGUAAAGAAUCUGAAUGCAAUUUUACCGUCCACUGGAAUUGCCGUUGGAGACUCCUGAGAAUCAUUUGAAUGAUAUUCCACUCAAGUUUAAGAAACAGAGAAGGCACAAUAUGAGAGAUGUGUGGUGUUGUGUGGAAGGGUGUAGCAGAUUUGGUAAAAAUGGGUGAUGACCUUAGUUGUUGUAAUCUGCAUUAUGUGAUGUUUAUGGUUGUUGUUUGAGGAGUAGAAGGUCGUGUUAGAUGAAACAUGAUUUGUAACCACACAUCUGUAUCUUUCACUUUUCUAUUUGCUUCUUAUGCAUUCAACUUUUAUCUAAAAUUAGUGAUGAGAAGGAAGAAAUGGUUUUUAGGUUGUCAUAAUAAAAUAUUUUUAAUAAUAGAAGUAUGAAAAUACUAAAAUAAUGUUGAGUUUGGAAAUUUAAAUACAAAAUCAUUCUUCCCUUUAUAACUGCAUACAAAAUUGUGUGUGAUUUUUAAGCCCAAAAUAUAAGCGGAUUUGGUAUAUCUUAUUAUUUUUGCGCAAAACUGUAUAUAUGUUUUAGCUUUACAAUUUAAGUUAAUUAAGUCAACUUAAUUAAUUUUAUUUCUACUCCAUUUUCUUUAUUUUAGAUCUUUUUCUAAAAUUUGGAAUUCAGCCUUGCAAAUUUGAUUCUUACAUCAGAUUUUACUGUUCACAAUUUAGAAAAGACUAAAUUCAAUUUAGACAAAAUGUCUUUUUUUUUCGUUGCCCUCAAAAUAUUAAAAAUAAAAAAUCUUCAACUCAUGAAUAGGAGUAUAAUGUGCUUCCACGCACUUGAAUCCACAUCCUCCUGCAUUAACAACAAUACUCAUGCUAAUGAACUAAAACUCAAUCGGCUACUUUCUAAUUUUCAAAAUAUUCAAAAUUAUUUUCUUAAAUAAUUUAAUAUUAAGCUAUCAAUUUUAAAAUAUUAAUAUAUUAAACUUAAAAAACUCUAAAUGGAACUUCGAUCUCUUGAAUCUACCUAAACUCAAAUAAGAGAAAAUAAUUUUGAUACCUAAACUUUAAUUCUAUUUAUUAUUUCCAUAUAUCCUUCUAAUGGAGUUAAAAUCUUGCCUCACUUUCAAUGCAACCAAUUGUGGGACUAUUAGUUAGAAAAGUUUUAAUCAAAGUCAAGGGAUUUGAAGAUAAUUAUACCAAAAUUUAUUUUAAACCCCUAAAUGAAAAAUAGUAAGACCAACCCAAGCCCGGCACAAUUUAGCCCAUCAACGCAUCUACCCUAAACUUAAACUUUGCCCUCACGCUACCCAAUUCAAUCUAGGCUUAAUAUAAAAAUUGCCCCCUAAAUUAUAUUCAUUUUUUCAGAUAGGUAUAUAGUUUUUUUUUUCCGCAUUGGUACCCUGUUAGUUCUCCCUUAGUCAGCCAUUAGUCAACAUUGUUCAAUGUUUAAUGAUGAUGUGGCCCAAUCACUAAUGAACACGUGGCCAAAAAAGCCACAUAUAUAAACCAUCUCAUUCUUUGUAUAAAAUAAUUCCAAAAAAUAAAAAAAGUUAGAAAAAUUAAAAUUAUUUUUUUAUUUUAUAUUAAUAUUAAUUAAAAAUAAUAUUAAGAAAUAUUUUCACACCCUGUCCCUCUCCCACCGUCCCCCACCAUCCUCACCCAACCCUCUCCCUCUGCUAAUCCUUCAAUUAUAUUUUUAUAAAUAAAAAAUUCCCUCCUUUCUUUCUUCAACAUUGAUUCUUCGUCUCACAAUUCCCUUCAAAUCUAUCCACCACAUGUUUGGGAAAAUGACCCUCAAAAAAAAUAAAUUUUGAGCCUCAAAUUGGUGUUUUCCUUCAUCUAUUGGAUUGCUUUCUUAUAAUAGGAUUAUAAGUUUGUGGGUGAAGGUUUUGUAUUUGUUAGUUUGGUUUAGUGGACUCUUAAUUUUAUUUAUGGCCUUCUUCCAAUCUAGAAUUUUGUUUGUACUCUGAAACUCUAAAGUGUAAAUAGCCAAAUUAAGUAUCUUUAAUGUACCAAUUGGUUUGUGUCUUUUACAGAAAAAUAAUUUUUCUAAUUUCUUUAUUUUGCCACAUGUCUAUUGGUGAUUGAGCCACAUCAUCAUUGACCAAGGUUGAUUAACGGCUGACUAAUGAAGGACUAACGAGGUACAUAUGUAAGAAAAAAUAUAGUUUAGAUACUCAAAUUGAUCAAAAAAGUGUUUAGGUAGUUAUUUAAGCAAAUGAGUGUAUUUUAAAGGACAAUUUUAAUAUUAAGCCUUCAACCUAUAAAUAGAUUUAUUUAUAAUUAAUUUAAUUUAAUUUAAUAUGAUCUGAUUUAAAUUAAUUGUUAAACACGUUUAAUGACUUAAAUUUUAGUCACAAAUGACAAACUUCUAAAACAUGAUUUUUUAGUUCAAAUUGGUACUUUCAAGUAACUAAGUAUUAAUUUAGAUAAAAAAAUCAAAUUCAGGUAGUAAUUUAAAUCAAGAAGCAAAGUUUAGGUAUUUAAUUGGACCAAAAUACCAAAUGUAACUUUGAAGUCAUGUUCAAGUACCUAAUUAGAAAAAAAAACCUUAGGUAUCAAUUUGAACUCUGAAGCUAAGUUCAAGUACCAAAAUGUAUAUUUCCCUUACUUUUCCAAUAACCAUUGAAUGCUCUCAUUUUCAUCCACCAGAUCGGAGCAAACAUUAAUUAUUGACAGAAAAUAAUAAUUCUAGUGAUUAUGUUGAAAGUAAACCUUAAUUUUCUGUCACCGACAAUCACAGUCCUUUUUGCAUUAUUUCUCAAUUUUUAGUUCAUCAACGAUCAAGAAUACUUUUUUCUUUUUUACAGUGAUUAUGUUGAGAUUUCCUAUAAAAUUCUCUUUUUAUUUGCAAGGAAUCUACAACUCUAGUGUGAAUCAGGGACAUUGUCUUUGAUCGCAGGGUGUUCGCUGAAAUGCUUGACACAAGCAUGCAGGCGCGGGAAGCUAUCAGCUUUGAUAAACUUAAAUCCCACCGCAUCUUCCAUAGGCGCCAACAUAUGAAUAACUAUUCCUAAAACGAGGUCAGCCAUGCCAAUUCCAUUAAAAAGAGGCCUAAGCUAAGCUACCAAGCAAAGAGGAAGAAGAAGAGAUGGUUUCAGGGUGAGGCAUGUGCUCCAAAAGGGUAGCGGUGGAUGCAAGGCAUCACAUGCUGGGAAGGUUGGCUUCCAUAUUGGACAAGGAGUUGUUGAAUGGCCAAAAAGUAGUGGUGGUGAGAUGUGAAGAGAUAUGCAUGUGGGGUGGAUUGGUUAGCCAGAAGAUGAAUCUCAUGAGGUUUCUUAGGGAGCGUAUGAACACUGAUCUUGCGUACCAUUCGCGGGUGUGUUUUUCUUUUCGAGAGUCUUUUUUCCCUUUUAGUGUGUUUUCAUAGUUCUUUAUUUGGUCUGUGAAUGAAAAGGAUGGAAAUUUCUGGGUUUUUGAUGCUUGGUAAUUUAGGAAGCCUUUAUUAUAAACUUUUUGAGAGAUUUUUUUCUAUUUAUUUGAAGUUCUAUGAUUUGGAUAUUGGAAUAUAUAUUGCAAAAGAACCAAUGGAAUCUGCGUGUUUAGUUGUGUUUGAUAUCAAAAUUAAUAAUGAGAGUUUGCUAUUGAUUUUUCUUGUUAGAGAUCUGUGUGUUUUGUUAUAUUUGGUUAUUGGUAAAAUGUAGGGACGAAGUGAAAGAGAGUAGAAUGAGUGUGCUUGAGGUUAUUAUUGUUGGAUUGAGAGAAAACUAAUAGCUGAGAAAGUCUAUGAAUUUUAUGGUGCAAAGGCAAUGCUUUUGGCUUCAGCAUAUAUGAAGUGAAGUAUAUAACUGGCUUCAUUUGGACUUUCCUUAUGGUAAUUGAUAUUUGCUUUGAUUGCAGGAUGAUUCCUCGCAAAGACUAAGCACGGAGUGGCAGCUUUCGCUGGUGUGAAUUGAAGGCGUAUGAGGGGAUUCUUGCACCAUAUGAUAAGACUAAGAGAAUGGUUAUUCCUGAUGCUCUCAAGUUUUGCAGUAGUUGGUUUCUUUUGAGGAAUUUAGAAUUUCGUUUUCUUACUUGCUUCUGUGGAUAGUUAGUCAUGCUCAAUGUUUUUUAAAUUGGUGGAGAAAAUAGCAUUACCCUGGAGUAAAUAUGAAAUAUAACAUUGAACGCUUUUAUGUAGGUUAUCCAACAUUGAAUGCUUAGGACUUGGUUUGGAGCUUCAGGAACUACUGAUGAAGAAGUUUAUGAAGACAUCAAAAGAGUCAUUUCAUUGGUUUGGCAGUUCUAGGACUUGGUUGUCCUUUACUCAGAGCCAGAGCAGGUAGGUUCUGUUUUUACUUGGCUGUUUGUGAUUGAUGUUUGUUGCACCUUUUCCCCUCUCUUUUGUAACUGUAUUGUAGCUUUGGGUCAGUGGUUGGGCUAUGAAUUUAUGAAUAUCAAACUGUUGUGUCUGGUCAACAUUGCAGACUCCUCGAAUUGUCUCCUUACCGUCUGAGUCUUACAACCUACCAAGACAACACCGAACCAAACCUUCCGCAUACAGAAGAAAAACAUUCCUUGCAAUAAAAUUAAAAUUGAUACAAAAACUACAACAUCCAUAGGGAAGCAUCAAAACACUUCAAAAAGAUAACCACAAUGACACUUGCGUACACCACAGCUCAUAACACAAAUCGAAAAAGAGAUCAACUUCAAGACAUCAUCUCAUGUUAUCAAUUUGUGAGCAUCCUUUAGAAAUUAAAUAAACACCAUAAAAGAAGCAUCCAACAAAUUGGCAGCAAUGCAGUAACUGCAAACCUAUUGCCUCCGUGACUCUUUAAUUACAACCCCAAAUAUCAUAUGCCAAAACAAGGAGCAACAUCAAAAUCUUCAUAAUUAAACACUCUUGAAAGUUGCCUACACACCCUCUUUACUCAUCCUUAGGUUAAAACAUGUUCUUAUCACCCCUAAACACCACCAGUCAAAAUCAUAUCUUACUCGAGUUGAAAACACCUCCUAGUUGAAGAGAAGACAAUCGAAAUCAUCCUUAACCCACCAACCCUUAUCCAACAUCGAUCAAGAGGACACUAAACAUGAUUCCAUAAUAAGCUUGUUAAAAUCCCUCAAGAAAGGAAAGCCGGAUCAGCAGCAUUCAACAGUGUUCCUCAUCAGUUAUGGCCGUCGAUGAUGAACCUCAGCCCCCUCAGCCUUACGAGUUCACAUCCUGAUUUCGCUUGGAUUUCGUUUCGAUGAUAGUUUUUAGAGACGAUUUGUGUUCAGUCACAUUCUUUAGUUCUGGAGUUCUCUACUAAAUCAGUUACAUUCUUUCUAAUGUUCUUUCUAGGAAAAUCUUGUCAUAUACAUGCUCAACCAUUAGGGAAUUUGACUUUGUUGCCUAAUUUCUUUUUGUUGAUGUUCUCAAUUCUUUUCAUAUUUUUUUAAAAUCAUAUAUAUAUAGGUUACAACAAUGUGGCAUAGCUUUUAAAUCAUUAUUUGUCACGAUAAUAAUAUUUCGCAUGUUGAUUAUAUUUAAAAAAUUAAUUCAAGAUAAAUUCCUUAUAAAUAUUGUCAUGUAAUUGUUGAUGCUCUAAAUGUUGAUAUGCAUGAAUAUAUUAAAUAUGCACUAAAAAUGUAAAAUUAAAAUUAAUUAUAAGAAAUAUAAACUAUAAAGCAAAUUGAAGCAAAUAUAUAGUAAAAUUUUCAACUUAAAAUAUAUAUUUAAAACUUAAAGUAUAUUAUUAAAGACGCAUUUUAAUAAAGAUUGAUUAAAGUAAAUAUAUUUCAAAUUUUUAAUUAAUUUAAACAAAAUCAAUUAUAAAAAAAUUAUUAUUUUCUUUUUCAAACCCUAACAAAUUUAUGGGAAAAUUGAAUGUUCCAUAUUCGUAUCCUUAGAAAGGAAAUGCUGGGGUAUUAUGGGAAAAGAAAUAUUGACAAAUAGUCUCACAAGUCAAGGACGAAAAUGAUUCUUCUCUUUAAGGACAAAAGCAAGACCUAAGAAAGUAUACCAUAAAGCGUGGAGUAAAGUGAAGCAAACUCGAGGGUUUUCUUGUAAUGGAUGUGAGUGAGUGUGAGAGUAGGACAGAGGGGGAAACCGUGGAACUUCAACAUUUCAGUCAUCCACAUCCUUUGGUCUCCUUCAAAUAUCAGACUGUUGCACGCGAAGAAGUAGACCCAGAAGCAGCUCUUUGCCUUGGGUGUGAGAAACCUGUAGAGGGCUGGAGCUAUGGCUGCAAUCAAUGUGAGUUUUAUCUUCACAAGGGAUGUGCUGAGUUAGACUUAGCCCCCAAGAUUCAGCAUCCCUUCCACCCCGAACACCCUCUCACUCUUCUGCCAAAAUCACCUUAUUCUGGGGGCUUAACCGCGUGCAGUUUUUGUGGUAAGAAUUUUGAGGGAUUUGUUUAUAAUUGUUUUGAUUGUGAGUUCGAUCUGCACAUCAAUUGUGCUUUGCUUCAAUCAUCCAUUGCUACAAAUUUUCCUCAUUCUUUGCACCACCAUCCUUUAGACUUCAUUCAAAACCAUAACGAGGAAGUUGAGCGCGAUUGCUCCGGAUGUCAGAAACCAUUAUCUGGUCCAAUUUACCAUUGUUUAGAUUGUUCUUAUCCUACAUUCUUUACUCUUCAUAAGGAAUGCGUUGAACUACCCCUAGAAAUUAAUCACCCCUGUGACCGUAAGCAUCCCCUUACUCUUUUGCCUCAACGACCUGCACAUCCCGAGAAAUGUAGUUGCUAUUUGUGCAAAAUCCAAUGGAGCGGGUUUGUUUAUUCCUGCUCGCUUUGCAACUUUGAGCUUUCAGUUGAUUAUAUUUUUUCACCACCAACAAUCACCAAUGCAAGCCAUGAACACCCGUGGAUGCUUAUAUCCAAAAAAAUGUCAUUUAUUUGUGAUUUUUGUGGCAUUGUCGGAGAUCACUCUCCCUAUCUUUGUGCUACAUGCAACCUUGCUGUACACAAGAAUUGCAUUUCAUUGCCACGCAACAUCAGGAUAACACGACAUUGUCACGUGAUUUGUUUUUCAUAUUCUUUUCAACAAAAUCAAGUUGAAGAUUGUAUGUGCAGAAUUUGUUUCACGGAAGUUGAUACAAGUUAUGGUAGGUAUUGUUGUUCUGCUUCUGGUUGUGAUUAUAUUGCUCAUGCACAUUGUGCAACCAAUAAAUCAAUUUGGGAUGGAACAAUUAUCAAGGAAGGCUAUGAUGAGAGGCUUGGACCUUCGAAUUUGAUCACUGAUGUUAUUGAACAAAUAAGUAUUGAAGAGAUUAUGGUAGCAAGUAAGAUCAAACAUUCCUACCAUCAUCAUAAUUUAAGACUCACUUUUAGUGGUGAGAUCAAAGAUGAUAGCCAGUGUGAUGGGUGCAUGAGGCCUAUAUCAACUCCUUUUUAUAGUUGUGAGCAAUGCAAGUUCUUUCUCCACAAAGAUUGCGUUGAAUUGCCUAAAGAAAUGCCACACCCAUUUCACAAGCAUUUGCUUACUCUCUCAAACUCCCACGAUGAGAAUGGUUGUUCAUGGUGCACUACUUGCCGUCGUCUGUAUCAAGGAUUUAGGUACAGAUGCUACAAAGGAGAUUGCUACUUCGAAAUUGACAUUCAAUGUAUGUUAUUGUCGGACACCUUGAAGCACCCAAGUCAUGAGCAUUCACUCGUUCUUGUCCACAACGAGGGAACGAGCUGCAGUGCUUGUUUCAAAAAUUUACUAUCAAUGGAUGUUGCAUAUAGAUGCAUGAAGCGCUGUGAUUUUAGUUUAGAUGUAGGUUGUGCAUCACUACCACUCACUGCUUGGUACAAGUAUGACAGGCAUGCUCUUACAUUGACUUUUUCUGAUGAUUCUGAGCCUUCUCAACUUUACUGCGAUCUCUGCGAGAAAGAAAGCCAAAUUGUUGGUUUUACUACUGUGCUGAUUGUGAUAACUCUCUUCAUCUCAAUUGUGCUCUUGGGGAUCUCCCAUAUAUGAAGCUUGGGAACAAAAUCAAAGGUACAGGUCAUCGACAUCCACUCACUGUUGUGAAAAACAUCUGGAAUUGCCCUCCAUGUAAGGUAUGUGGUGAGGUUUGCAAUGGACAGGCCCUAGAAUGUAAAGAAUUUGAAUGCAACUUUACCGUCCAUUCGGUUUGCUGUUGGUUUCUCUAUGAAUCAUCUGAAUGAUAUUCCACUCAGUUUAAGAAACAGAGAAAGCACAAUACGAGAGGUGUGUUGUGUUGUGUGGAAGGGUGUAGCAGAUUUGGUAAAAAUGGGUGAUGGCCUUAGUUGUUGUAUUUUGCAUUAUGUUAUGUUUAUGAUAGUUGUUUGCGCAGUAGAAGGUUGUGAUAGAUGAAACAUGUAUCUGUAUCUUUCACUUUUUUAUUUGAUUCUUAUCCUUUCAACUUUUAUCUAAAAUUAUUGAUGAGAAGAAAAUAUUUUUAUUAUCUUUCUAUUCCUCCAUUCUUAAAAAUUGUGAGUGAAUGUUAAGACCAUGAAAUGUAUAAAUGGUUUCUUAAUUUUAUUUAUUUAUAAAUCUUAAAUUUAAAAUUUGAAGAUCGAAUUUGGUAUAUCUUAUUAUUUUUAAAAAGUGAAAAUAUAUGAAAUUUGUGAAAUAAAUUGAUCAAGAUUUUGUGAUCUUAAAUCAACCAGUCAUAAAAAAAAAUGUACGUCUGUUUUAGUUUUAGAAUUUAGAUUAAUUUUAUAUUACUUAAUCAGUAAACAUUUGUACUCCAUAUUCAAAAUAAUAUUAUUAUGCCUAAAUUCUAGAAAAUAAUUUUUUCUUUAUUUUAGAUUUUAUCCUAAAUUUUUUGAAUCUUCCACCAGAUUUUAUUGUAAUUUCAUUUUAAAGAUAAAUCAACAUUUUUCACAACUUAAAAAGGAAUAAAGUCAAUUUAAGCAAAAAAAUCCUUUUUUUUCCCUUUGCCCUCAAAAUAUCAAGAAAAACCCCCUUUCUUUUAUUUUGGAAAGAAAGAGAAACCUGUAGAGGGCUGGAGCUAUGCCUGCAAUCAAUGUCGGUUUUUUCUUCACAAGGGAUGUGCUGAGUUAGAGUUAUCCCCCAAGAUUCAGCAUCCCUUCCACCCUCUCACUCUUCUGCCAAAAUCACCUUAUUCUGGGGGCAUAACCGCGUGCAGUUUGUUUGGUAAGAAUUUUGAGGGAUUUGUUUAUAAUUGUUUUGAUUGUGAGUUCGAUCUGCACAUCACUUGUGCUUUGCUUCAAUCAUCCAUUGCUGCAAAUUUUCCUAAUUCUUUGCACCCCCAUCCUUUACACUUCAUUCAAAAUCAUAACAAGGAAGUCGAGCCUGAUUGCCCGGGGUGUCGGAAACCAAUAUCUGGUCCAUUUUACCACUGUUCAGAUUGCACUUGUCCUAAAUUGUUUUAACCUUCAUAAGGAAUGUGCUGAACUACCCCUUGAGAUUAAUCACCCCUGUGACCGUAAGCAUCCUCUUACUCUCUUGUCACAACCGCCUACUCAUCCCAAGAAAUGUAGUUGCUAUUUGUGCAGAAUCUAUGCAACUUUGAUCUUUCACUUGAUAGUUUUCUUUUUUCACCACCAAAAAUCACAGUUGCAAGUCAUGAACACGCGUGGAUGCUUGUAUCUAGAAAAAUGUGGUUUGUUUGUGAUUUUUGUGGCACUGACGGAGAUCACUCCCCCUAUUUGUACCCUAAACUUAAACUUUGCCCUCGCACUACCCAGUUCAAUCUAGGCUUAAUAUAAAAAUUGCCCCCUAAAUUAUAUUCAUUUUCUCAGAUAGGUAUCUAAACCAUUUUUUUGUCAAAUUGAGUACUUAAAGUAAUUUUUUCCCGCAUUGGUACGCUGUUGCCUGUUAGUUCUCCCUUAGUCAACCAUUAGUCAACAUUGUUCGAUGUUCAAUGAUGAUGUGGCCCAAUAAGUAAUAAGCACGUGGAAAAAAAGCCACAUAAGUAAACCAUCUCAUUCUUUGUAUAAAAAAAGCCACAUAAGUAAAUCAUCUCAUAAUUAAAAAUAAUAUUAAGAAAUAUUUUCACACCCUGUUACUCUCCCACAGUCCCCUACCAUCCUCACCCAACCCUUUCCCUCUGCUAACCCUUCAAUUAUAUUUUCAUAAAAAAAAAAAUCCUCCUUUUUUUCUUCAACAUUGAUUCUUUGUCUCACAAUUCCAUUUAAAUCCAUCCACCACAUGUUUGGGAAAAUGACCCUCAAAAAAAUAGAUUUUAAGCCUGAAAUUGGUGUUUUCCUUUUCAUGUAUUGGAUUUGCUUUCUUAUAGUAGGAUUAUAAGUUUGUGGGUGAAGGUUUUGUAUUUGUUAGUUUGGUUUAGUGGACUCUUAAUUUUAUUUAUGGCCUUCUUCCAAUUCGGAAUUUUGUUUGUACUCUGAAUCUCUAAAGUGCAAAUAACCAAAUUAAGCAUCUUUAAUGUACCAAUUGGUUUGUGUCUUUUACAGAAAAAUAAAUUUUCUAAUUUUUUUUUAUUUUGCCACAUGCCUAUUAGUGAUUGAGCCACAUCAUCAUUGACUAAGUUGAUUAAUGGUUGACUAACGAAGGACUAACGAGGUACAAACGUAAGAAAAAAUAUGGUUUAGAUACUCAAAUUGAUCAAAAAAGUGUUUAGGUAAUUAUUUAAGCAAAUGAGUAUAUUUUAAAGGACAAUUUUAAUAUUAAGCCUUCAACCUAUAAAUAGAUUUAUUUAUAAUUGAUUUAAUUUAAUAUGAUCUAAUUCAAAUUAAUUGUAAAACACAUUUAAUGACUUAAUUUUUAGUCACAAAUGAUAAACUUCUACAACAUAGUUUUUUAGUUCAAAUUGGUACUUUCAAAUAACUAAGUAUUAAUUUAGAUAAUAAAAAAUCAAAUUCGGGUAUUAAUUUAAAUCAAGAAGCUAAGUUUAGGUACUUAAUUUGACCAAAAUACCAAAUGGAACUUUGAAUUCAUGUUCAAGUACCUAAUUGGAAAAACAAAACCUUAGGUAUCAAUUUGAACUCUGAAGCUAAGUUCAAGUAUCAAAAUAUAUAUUUCCCUUACUUUUCCAAUCAAUAAUAAUUCUAGUGAUUAUGUUGAAAGUAAACCUUAAUUUUUGGUCACCGACAACCACAAUCCUUUUUGCAUUAUUUCUCAAUUUUUAGUUCAUAAACGAUCAAGAAUACCUUUUUUUUAUAGUGAUUAUGUUGUGAUUUCCUAUAAAAUUCUCUUUUUAUUUGCAAGGAAUCUACAACUCUAGUGUGAAUCAGGGACAUUGUCUUUGAUCGCAGGGUGUUCGCCGAAAUGCUUGACACAAGCAUGCCGGCGUGGGAAGCUAUCAGCUCUGAUGAACUUAAAUCCCACCGCCUCUUCCAUAGGCGCCAACAUAUGAAUAACUAUUCCUAAAACGAGGUCAGCCAUGCCAAUUCCAUUAAAAAGAGGCCUAAGCUAAGCUACCAAGCAAAGAGGAAGAAGAAAAGAUGGUUUCAGGGUGAGGCAUGGGCUCCAAAAGGGUAGCGGUGGAUGCAAGGCAUCACAUGCUGGGAAGGUUGGCUUCCAGAUUGGCAUGGUCUCAUCCAGUUUCCUGCUCCUCUAACACCCUCUGGCGUACCAUUCGUGGGUGCGUUUUUCUUUUCGAGAGUUUUUUUUCCCUUUUAGUGUGUUUUCGUAGUUCUUUAUUUGGUCUGUGAAGGAAAAGGAUGGAAAUUUCUGGGCUUUUGAUGCUUGGUAAUUUAGGAAGCCUUUAUUAUAAACUUUUUGAGAGAUUUUUUCUAUUUAUUUGAAGUUCUAUGAUUUGGAUAUUGGAAUAUAUAUUGCAAAAGAACCAAAGGAAUCUGUGUGUUUAGUUAUGUUUGAUAUCAAAAUUAAUAAUGAGAGUUUGCUAUUGAUUUUUCUUAUUAGAGAUCCGUGUGUUUGUUAUAGUUGGUUAUUGGUAAAAUGUAGGGACGAAGUGAAAGAGAGUAGAAUGAGUGUGCUUGAGGUUAUUAUUGUUGGAUUGAGAGAAAACUAAUAGCUGACAAGGUCUAUGAAUCUUAUGGUGCAAAGGCAAUGCGUUUGGCUUCAGCAUAUAUGUAGUGAAGUAUAUAACUGGGCUUCAUUUUGACUUUUCUUAUGGUAAUUGAUAGUUGUUUUGAUUGCAGGAUGAUUCCUCGCAAAGACUAAGGACGGAGUGGCAGCUUUCGCUGGUUUGAAAUUGAAGGCUAAUGAGGGGAUUCCUGCACCAUAUGAUAAGACUAAGAGAAUGGUUAUUCCUGAUGCUCUCAAGUUUUGCAGUAGUUGGUUUCUUUCGCGGAAUUUAGAAUUUGGUUUUCUUACUUGCUUCUGUGGAUAGUUAGUCAUGCUCAAUGUUUUUAUUGUUCUUUCGGUUUUUUUAAAUUAGGGUUUUGAGGUUUCAGAAAGGAGACAAAUUGGUGGAGAAAAUAGCAUUACCCUGGAGUAAAUAUGAAAUAUAACAUUGAACGCUUUUAUGUAGGUUAUCCAACACGCUGAAUGCUUAGGACUUGGUUUGGAGCUUUAGGAACUACUGAUUAAGAAGUUUAUGAAGACAUCAAAAGAGUCAUUUCAUUGGUUUGGCAGUUCUAGGACUUGGUUGUCCUUUACUCAGAGCCAGAGCAGGUAGGUUCUGUUUUUACUCGGCUGUUUGUGAUUGAUGUUUGUUGCACCUUUUCCCCUCUCUUUUUGUAACUGUAUUGUAGCUUUGGGUCAGUGGUUGGGCUAUGAAUUUAUGAAUAUCAAACUGUUGUGUCUGGUCAACAUUGCAGACUCCUCGAAUUGUCUCCUUACCAUCUGAGUCUUACAACCUACCAAGACAACACCGAACCAAACCUUCCGCAUACAGAAGAAAAACAUUCCUUGCAAUAAAAUUAAAACUGAUACAAAAACCACAACAUCCCAAAACACCUCAAAAAGAUAACCACGACGACACUUGCAUACACCACAGCUCAUGACACAAAUCGAAAAAGAGCUCAACUUCAAGACAUCAUCUCAUGUUAUCAAUUUGUGAGCAUCCCUUAGAAACUAAAUAAACACCAUAAAAGACGCAUCCAACAAAUUGGCAGCAAUGCAGUAACAGCAAACCUAUUGCCUCUGUGAGUCUUUAAUUACAACCCCAAAUAUCAUAUACCAAAGCAAGGAGCAACAUCAAAACCUUCAUAAUUAAACACUCUUGAAAAGUUGCCUACACACCCUUUUUACUCAUCCUUAGGUUAAAACAUGUUCUUAUCACCCCUAAACACCACCAGUCCAAAUCAUAUCUUACUCGAGUUGAAAAACCUCCUGGUUGAAGAGAAGACAAUCGAAAUCAUCCUUAACCCACAAACCCUUAUCCAACAUCGAUCAAGAGGACACUGAACAUGAUUCCAUAAUAAGCUUGUUAAAAUCCCUCAAGAAAGGAAAGCUGGAUCAGCAGCAUUCAACAGUGGUCCUCAUCAGUUAUGGCGGUCAAUGAUGAACCUCAGCCCCCUGAGCCUUUCGAGUUCACAUCCUGAUUUCGCUUGGAUUUCAUUUCGAUGAUAGUUUUUAGAGAUGACUUGUGUUCCGUCACAUUCUUUUGUUCAGGAGUUCUCUACUAAUCAGUUACAUUCUUUCUUAUGUGCUUUCUAUUUGUACGGAAAAUCUUGUCAUAUACAUGCUCAACCAUUAGGGAAUUCAAUUUUGUUGCUGAUACGAACUCGGUUGCAUCAUGUUACGACACAACUGGACGGCAUCGGCAUUGGCCCAAACACGAGGGUCCCAAGUGCAAAAUGAAGUGUUAAUUCGAGUUUGUUAAUUUGGUUGCUGGAAAAAAUGAGGAUGACUAUUACUUCUAGAUUUCUUAGCUAUAGUUUAAUUGCUGGAAUAAAAGUUAAUUCGGUUUUAGUUAAUUAGUUAAUUAAUUAGUUAAGUUCCAUAAAUAUGUCAUGGUUUAAACAUCAAUAAUUAGAAUUUAAAUUUGUCAAAAAAUAUGGACAUUUUAAAUGUGUUUUAAGUUCAUUAAUUCUGUCCAAAAUUCAUACUGCUUUAAUAUGAGAUUUAACUUGGUCUUAGUUUAGAACAAAUUAAAUAGGUCUUAAUUUAGACAACUUAAUUGUGACUCACUUCCAGACCAAUUAAUUGUGUCUAACAUUCAGCUUUUAUGUUGCAUUAAACCGAUCUUUAAAUAUGUUUUGUAGGUUGGCUGAAUAGGCUGCCCAUCAACCAAUACAUUGGACGGCAUUAAAGGGACAGCAUGCACCUGGACGUACAUGCACCUAGCACCUGCUGUUUGCUCUCCUCCAAGCAUCUCCUCGUGGAAGCAAUAGCCAAGAGUGUCCCAAUUUGUUUCAUCAGCUGAUUAAUUCGGUUCACACAUAAUUGUCCAGCCAAUUCGAGCCAUUCACACCUAGUUGACCAUUCAUUGCCGGCUUUUCACCUUUGAUGGCUGUCCAUGCGCCACCAACAGUCACAAUUUAAUUAAAGCUUGUUUGGCUGCCCAAGGGAGGUUAAUGCAUGUUCAUUCAACUUAGCUGAUAAGGAACUUGUUAGAUUCAGCUAAUUUUCUAAAUACAUUUAGCUGACCAUUCGAGAACAGCAAAGGUUAAGGAUGUCGGCGUGUCCAAUGAUUGGAUGCAUUCAUUUGCUGACUCAAUUACUCCAGCUCAAGAACCGAAUUUAUCCAGAUGAAUUACUCAGCUAUUUCGUCAGUCCAUGGCUGUUACUCCAGCUCAAGAACCGAAUUUAUCCAGAUGAAUGCUCAGCAAUUAAGUCAGUCCAUGACUGUUCGGGCAUAGCAAGAGCCAGCUGAUCAUUAAGCUAAACAUUGGAUAAUUUCAACUGGAAUUUAAGUUAACAUUUGUGUUUAAUUAAUUGUUAUAAAUUGAGGCUAUUCGGCUGGACCUAUGUGAGCUUAUAAAUAGCUUAUUGUAAACCGUUUAGAAGGUUACUUAACUUUGAAAUUUUAUGAAUAUUAAGCCUUGAGUUAUUCAACUCUUGUAAGAGUUGUUCGUUUGAGACUCGAUUGACUUAUCUAGCUCCGUCUAGUGGCGUCAACCCGAUUCUUGUUUGAACUUAUCACUUCCAGCAAGUGUGGCGUUCAUCCUAUACCGUAGGUUCCUAUCUCUUUAGAUAGUGGGUCUCGGUUUACUAUCUUUUUAUCCAAUUUCAUUUCCAAGUGUUGAUAUAAAAAUUGGGUCGAUAUUCACCUUUAAUAUCGGUCCAUUCUUCAAACUUGUUUUACCCAAACUUAGCAGAAACUAUCACAUAUUAACCUUUACAAAUAUACCAACUUAAAAGCCUUCUUGUUUCAGCCUUCAAAUACGAUACUUCUCAAUUUACGAUCGGAAAACUUAGCAACACGUAAUCAACUCCAAGCACGGGUUCGCAUCAGUUGCCUAAUUUCUUUUCAUUGAUGCUUUGCUCUCAAUUCUUUUCACAUUUUUUUCAAAUCAUAUAUAUAGGUUAAAACUAUGUGGCAUAGCUUUUAAAUCACUAUUUAUUAUGAUAAUAAUAUUUCACAUGUUGAUUAUAUUUAAAAAAAUUAAUUCAAAGUAAAUUCCUUAUAAAUAUUGUCAUGUAAUUUUUGAUGCUCUAAAUGUUGAUAUGCAUGAAUAUAUUAAAUAUACACUAAAAAUAUAAUAUUAAAAUUAAUUAUAAGAAAUAUAAACUAUAAAGCAAAUUGAAGCAAAUAUUUAGUAAAAAUUUGAACUUAAAAUAUAUAUUUAAAACUUAAAACAUAUUAUUAAAGACGCAUUUUAAUAAAGAUUGAUUAAAUUAAAUAUAUUUCAAAUUCUUAAUUAAUUUAAACAAAACUCAAUUAUUAAAAACAAAUUAUUAUCUUUUUCAAACUCUAACAAAUUUAUGGGAAAAUUGAAUGUUCCAUAUUAUUAUCCUUAGAAUGGAAAUGCUGGGGUAUUAUGGGAAAAGAAAUAUUGACAAAUAUGCUCACAAGUCAACGACGAAAAUGAUUCUUCUCUUUUAAGGACAAAAGCAAGACCUAAGAAAGUAUACCACAAAGGGUGGCGUAAAGUGAAGCUAACUCAAGGGUUUUCUUGUAAUGGAUGCGAGUGAGUGUGAGAGUAGGACAGAAGGGGAGACCAUGGAACUUCAACAUUUCAGUCAUCCACAUCCUUUGGUCUCCUUUAAAUAUCAGACUGUUGCACGCGAAGAAGUAGACACAGAAGCAGCUCUUUGCCUUGGGUGUGAGAAACCUGUAGAGGGCUGGAGCUAUGGCUGCAAUCAAUGCGAGUUUUAUCUUCAUAAGGGAUGUGCUGAGUUAGAGUUAGCCCCCAAGAUUCAGCAUCCAUUCCACCCCAAACAUCCUCUCACUCUUCUGCCAAAAUCACCUUAUCCUGGGGGCAUAACCGUGUGCGAUUUGUGUGGUAAGAAUUUUGAGGGAUUUGUUUAUAAUUGUAACGAUUGUAUUUUCUAUCUGCACAUCAAUUGUGCUUUGCUUCAAUCAUCCAUUGCUGCAAAUUUUCCUAAUUCUUUGCACCACCAUCCUUUACACUUCAUUCAAAACCAUAACGAGGAAGUUGAGCGCGAUUGCUCCGGAUGUCAGAAACCAUUAUCUGGUCCGAUUUACCAUUGUUUAGAUUGUUCUUAUCCUACAUUCUUUACUCUUCAUAAGGAAUGCGUUGAACUACCCCUAGAAAUUAAUCACGCCUGUGACCGUAAGCAUCCCCUUACUCUUUUGCCCCAACGACCUGCACAUCCCGAGAAAUGUAGUUGCUAUUUGUGCAAAAUCCAAUGGAGCGGGUUUGUUUAUUCCUGCUCGCUUUGCAACUUUGAGCUUUCAGUUGAUGAUAUUUUUUCACCACCAACAAUCACCAAUGCAAGCCAUGAACACCCGUGGAUGCUUAUAUCCAAAAAAAUGUCAUUUAUUUGUGAUUUUUGUGGCAUUGUCGGAGAUCACUCUCCCUAUCUUUGUGCUACAUGCAACCUUGUUGUCCACAAGAAUUGCAUUUCAUUGCCACGCAACAUCAGGAUAACACGACAUUGUCACGUGAUUUGUUUUUCAUACUCUUUUCAACAAAAUCAAGUUGAAAAUUGUAUGUGCAGAAUUUGUUACACGGAAGUUGAUACAAGUUAUGGUAGGUAUUGUUGUUCUGCUUCCGGUUGUGAUUAUAUUGCUCAUGCACAUUGUGCAACCAAUAAAUCAAUUUGGGAUGGAACAAUUAUCAAGGAAGGCUAUGAUGAGAGGCAUGGACCUUCGAAUUUGAUCACCGAUGUUAUUGAACAAAUAAGUAUUGAAGAGAUUAUGGUAGCAAGUAAGAUCAAACAUUCCUACCAUCAUCAUAAUUUAAGACUCACUCUUAGUGGUGAAAUCAAAGAUGAUAGCCAGUGUGAUGGGUGCAUGAGGCCUAUAUCAAAUCCAUUUUAUAGUUGUGAGCAAUGCAAGUUCUUUCUCCAUAAAAAUUGCGCUGAAUUAUCUAAAGAAAUGCGACAUCCAUUUCACAAGCACUUACUUACACUCACAAACUCAAGCACGCUCGGUGACUUUUCAAGUUGUGAUGCCUGCAGUCAUUUGUACCAGGGAUUUAGCUAUCGGUGCUACAGAAGAGGUUGCAACCUCAACUUUGACAUUCGGUGUAUGUUAAUGUUGGACACCUUGAACCAUCCAAGUCAUGACCAUUCACUCUUACUUGAGCAUAACCAGCAAAGAAAUUGCAGUGCUUGUUCCGGAACAAUGGAACCAUGGAGAGUUGCAUAUAGAUGCAUGAAGCGUUGUGAUUACACUUUAGAUGUAGGUUGUGCAACACUACCACCCACUGCUUGGUACAAGUAUGACAAACAUCCUCUUACUCUGACUUAUUCUGAUGAUUCUGAACCUUCUCAACUUUACUGCGAUCUCUGUGAGAAAGAAAGGCAGCCGAAUAGUUGGUUUUACUAUUGUGUUGAUUGUGAUAACUCUCUUCAUCUCAAUUGUGCUCUUGGGGAUCUCCCAUAUAUGAAGCUUGGGAACAAAAUAAAAGGUACAGGUCAUCAACAUCGACUCACUGUUGUGAAAAACAUCUGGAAUUGUCCUCCAUGUGAGAAAUGUCGUGAGCUUUGCAACGGACGUGCCCUAGAAUGUAAAGAAUUUGGAUGCAACUUUACCAUACACUGGAAUUGUUGUUGGUAUUUGACCUUCUAGGACUCUGGUGAACCAUUUCAAUGAUACUCCACUCAAGUUUACCAGACAGAGAAGUCGCAACUUCACAUGUCUGUUCUGUCCAUCUGCAUGCAUGUACCUGAUUUGCCAACAAGGGCUCAUGUCCGUUUGUUUUUCUUAAUUGCUUUUUAUUAUGUUAUUGUUGUCUAAGAACUUAAACCUUGUUUAAAUCAAACAUGAUUUCAGGCUAGUCAUGAGACUUCUUUUAGGGUAAAUAUACAUUUUGAUGCCUGAAUUUGGCUCUAAGGUUCACAUUGGUACCUGAACUUGACGUCUCGGUUCAAAUUGGCUUUUAAGUCCAAAUUAGUACUAGAGUUAGAUGAGGUAUUUGAACCAAUUUUAACUAUGAAGUCAAGUUUGGUACUAAUUUGAACCAAUAUGACAAGUUCAAAUGCCUAAUUGAACAACAAAAAUUUAAGUACCAAAUUGAACCUUGAGGUUAAGUAUUUAUCAUUUUAAGUUUUUUAAUCAUUUGAAUAAAUGGAAAAAUAGCAAUUUUGGCCCUUUGUGAAAAUUAAUCAUAUAAUUUAAGCUCUUUUAGAGUGAAACUUUUAUCUUCGGUCUCAAAAUUUUAAAAUUUUGGCUUCGUCACUAUAAGAGACUAAAUCACAAGAAAAUGAGCAAAUCCUGAAGGGGCAGGUAGGGGACUGUUCAUAUAAAUGAUGAUAUUAUAAAUUAAUAUAUAGUAAAAUUUUAUUUUAGUCCUUUAAAAUAAAACAAUUCUAUUUAAUCCCUUUAAAUAUGAUAAAUUACAUUUUAACCUUUCAAAAAUUUACAUUUUAAUUUAUAAUUUUUCUAAUUUUUUCAUUUUGCCACAUGUCUAUUGGUGAUUGAGCCACAUCAUCAUUGACCAAGGUUAAUUAACGGCUGACUAACGAAGGACUAACGAGGUACAAAUGUAAGAAAAAAUAUAUAGUUUAGAUACUCAUAUUGAUCAAAAAAGUGUUUAGGUACUAAUUUAAGCAAAUAAGGAUAUUUUAAAGGACAAUUUUAAUAUUAAGCCUUCAGCCUAUAAAUAGAUUUAUUUAUAAUUAAUUUAAUUUAAUAUGAUCUGAUUCAAAUUAAUUGUUAAACACAUUUAAUGACUUAAAUUUUAGUCACAAAUGACAAACUUUUACAGCAUAGUUUUUUAGUUCAAAUUGGUACUUUCAAAUAACUAAGUAUUAAUUUAGAUAAUAAAAAAUCAAAUUCGGGUAUUAAUUUAAAUCAAGAAGCUAAGUUUAGGUACUUAAUUGGACCAAAAUACCAAAUGGAACUUUGAAGUCAUGUUCAAGUACCUAAUUGGAAAAAAGAAAAACCUUAGGUAUCAAUUUGAACUCUGAAGCUAAGUUUAAGUACCAAAAUGUAUAUUUCCCUUACUUUUCCAAUAACCAUUGAAUGCUCUCAUUUUUAUCUACCAGAUCGGAGCAAACACUAAUUAUUGACAGAAAAUAACAAUUCUAGUGAUUAUGUUUAAAGUAAAAUUUAAUUUUAUGUCACCGACAAUCACAAUCCUUUUUGCAUUAUUUCUCAAUUUUUAGUUCAUAAACGAUCAAGAAUACUUUUUUUUUACGGUGAUUAUGUUGAGAUUUCCUAUAAAAUUCUCUUUUUAUUUGCAAGGAAUCUACAACUCUACUGUGAAUCAGGGAAGCAUGCAGGCGUGGGAAGCUAUCAGCUCUGAUAAACUUAAAUCCCACCGCCCCUUCCAUAAGCGCCAACAUAUGAAUAACUAUUCCUUAAACGAGGUCAGCCAUGCCAAUUCCAUUAAAAAGAGGCCUAAGCUAAGCUACCAAGCAAAGAGGAAGAAGAAGAGAUGGUUUCAGGGUGAGGCAUGUGCUCUAAAAGGGUAGCGGUGGAUGCAAGGCAUCACAUGCUGGGAAGGUUGGCUUCCAUAUUAGCCAAGGAGUUGUUGAAUGGCCAAAAAAUAGUGGUGGUGAGAUCUGAAGAGAUAUGCAUGUGGGGUGGAUUGGUUAGCCAGAAGAUGAAUCUCAUGAGGUUUCUUAGGAAGCGUAUAAACACUAAGCCUUCUCAUGGUCUCAUCCAGUUUCCUGCUCCUCUAACAUCCUUUGGCGUACCAUUCGUGGGUGUGUUUUUCUUUUCGAGAGUCUUUUUCCCUUUUAGUGUGUUUUCAUAGUUCUUUAUUUGGUCUGUGAAUGAAAAGGAUGGAAAUUUCUGGGUUUUUUAUGCUUGGUAAUUUAGGAAGCCUUUAUUAUAAACUUUUUGAGAGAUUUUUUUCUAUUUAUUUGAAGUUCUAUGAUUUGGAUAUUGGAAUAUAUAUUGCAAAAGAACCAAUGGAAUCUGUGUGUUUAGCUAUGUUUGAUAUCAAAAUUAAUAAUGAGAGUUUGCUAUUGAUUUUUCUUGUUAGAGAUCUGUGUGUUUGUUAUAGUUGGUUAUUGGUAAAAUGUAGGGACGAAGUGAAAGAGAGUAGAAUGAGUGUGCUUGAGGUUAUUAUUGUUGGAUUGGGAGAAAACUAAUAGCUGACAAGGUCUAUGAAUCUUAUAGUGCAAAGGCAAUGCGUUUGGCUUCAGCAUAUAUGAAGUGAAGUAUAUAACUGGGCUUCAUUUUGACUUUCCUUAUGGUAAUUGAUAUUUGCUUUGAUUGCAGGAUGAUUCCUCGCAAAGACUAAGCAUGGAGUGGCAGCUUUCGCUGGUGUGAAUUGAAGGCUUAUGAGGGGAUUCUUGCACCAUAUGAUAAGACUAAGAGAAUGGUUAUUCCUGAUGCUCUCAAGUUUUGCAGUAGUUGGUUUCUUUCGCGGAAUUUAGAAUUUGGUUUUCUUACUUGCUUCUGUGGAUAGUUAGUCAUGCUCAAUGUUUUUUAAAUUGGUGGAGAAAAUAGCAUUACCCUGGAGUAAAUAUGAAAUAUAACAUUGAACGCUUUUAUGUAGGUUAUCCAACAUUGAAUGCUUAUGACUUGGUUUGGAGCUUCAAGAACUACUGAUGAAGAAGUUUAUGAAGACAUCAAAAGAGUCAUUUCAUUGGUUUGGCAGUUCUAGGACUUGGUUGUCCUUUACUCAGAGCCAGAGCAGGUAGGUUCUGUUUUUACUCGGCUUUUUGUGAUUGAUGUUUGUUGCACCUUUUCCCCCCUCUUUUUGUAACUGUAUUGUAGCUUUGGGUCAGUGGUUGGGCUAUGAAUUUAUGAAUAUCAAACUGUUGUGUCUGGUCAACAUUGCAGACUCCUCGAAUUGUCUCCUUACUGUCUGAGUCUUACAACCUACCAAGACAACACCGAACCAAACCUUCCGCAUACAGAAGAAAAACAUUCCUUGCAAUAAAAUUAAAACUGAUACAAAAACCACAACAUCCCAAAACACCUCAAAAAGAUAACCACAAUGACACUUGCGUACAGCACAGCUCAUGACACAAAUCGAAAAAGAGAUCAACUUCAAGACAUCAUCUCAUGUUAUCAGUUUGUGAGCAUCCCUUAGAAACUAAAUAAACACCAUAAAAGAAGCAUCCAACAAAUUGGCAGCAAUGCAGUAACAAACCUAUUGCCUCCGUGAGUCUUUAAUUACAACCCCAAAUAUCAUAUACCAAAACAAGGAGCAAUGUAAUAGCCCGAUUCUGGGCCUAGUCGGAAUAGUGGUUUCGAGACCACAAAUCCGACGAGGGAAAAUAUGGUUAUUAUAAUAUUUUUAUGGUCUACAAUUUCACGGAAAAUUUUCGUAAAAAUUUCGUUCGAAAAUUUCGACGUUUGGGCACUCAAUUUAGUCAAAAGGACUAAAUUGUAAAAAGUGCAAAAGUUGAGUUCUAUAUGUAGAAGUGUCUAAUUGAUAUGAAAUUAUAAGUUGGGCAUCCUUAUGUGGUAAUUAGACCAUUAGUAAUUGAUGGACAAAAUAGACAUAAGAAAUGAGAGAAAUAGAUUUUUUUAAGUGGGGGCAUUUUAGUCAUUUGGUUAUAAAAAGAAUAAAAUGGGAAAAAGAUGACAAAAAUCAUCAUCUUCUCCAUAAGUUGCUGCCGAAUUUUAAGGGACACCAUAGCUAAGGUUUCUUUGCUUUCUCAAGGUCAUAGUAAGUGUAUCAUAGCCCCGUUUUUAAUGUUCUUUGCAUUUUUGAAAUCCUCGUAGCUCGGUUUAGCUUAUUUUACUGUUAAUUCAUGUUAGGGUUUAUAUUUGGAAAAAUACCCAUAGGUGAAAAGUGUUUAUUCUGCUGUUUUAUGGUGGAAUAUGAAGCUAGAAAUUAUGUUAAACAACUUUUGCUAAGCGAUUUUAAACGAAAACGGGUAAAUUGACAUAAUCGGUAAAACUAGUUAAUGUUCAAAAGUAUGUGUUAGAGUGAGAAUUUGAUGUUGCCAUAGAAGGGAAAAAUAUUAAGCAUGUCAUAAGACAUAAGAAUAAGUGAUGAAAUUUAACUUCCGAGCUUGGGAACAAAAAUGUAAUUAUGCAAAAGUUUGGGGGCAAAAUUGUAAUUUUUCAAAAAGUUGGGUGGAGGAUUAUUUUAAUAAAUGUGAACCUUAAAUAAGUUAAAUUUGCUAUUAUAGAUCAAGAAAGACGAGAGGACUACCUCAAACGAGGAAAAGAAAAGAUAGUGGAAUAAAUUGCAAAAUUACGAUAUUUUGCACCGAGGUAAGUAAACACGUGACUUAAUGUAUUAUUUUGGUAUUAUUUGAUAUGUGUUGAGAUUUAUUUGAAUAUAAAAUAAAUGUUUGGCAAGAUUCCAAAAAUGUUGUUAAUUUGGGAAAGGUGGUAAGGAGUUGCAAAACACGGUUUUUGGUUGAACACUCGGAAUAGGCCGGAGCAUAUUGCAUAUAAAGGGGUUGCUGUGUGCUGAUUCCCCUAUUCAUUGGUGGUUGCUAAGUGCUGAUUCCACCGUAUUUUAAAUGUGGAAGGGGGUUGCUAAGUGCUGAUUCCCCCGAGGGGUUGCUAAGUGCUGAUUCCCCUACCUAUUGGUGGUUGCUAAGUGCUGAUUCCACCGUAUUUUAAAUGUGAAAGGGGGUUGCUAAGUGCUGAUUCCCCUGAGGGGUUGCUAAGUGCUGAUUCCCCUACCUAUUUGGUGGUUGCUAAGUGCUGAUUCCACCGCAUCUGAAAUGUGAAGGGGGUUGCUAAGUGCUGAUUCCCCCAAGGGGUUGCUGUGUGCUGAUUCCCCGAUUCAUUGGUGGUGCUAAGUGCGGAAUCCACCAACAACGGUUAACAUUCCGAGUGUUCAACGAGUAAAUUGAGAAGGUGAAUAUUCAUAUAUGUGGUGGACGAGUUUAUGGGAGGAAUAUCGGGUUUGAUACUUAAUCAACCCAUGUAUAAGAUGGGAGGAAAAAUCAAAAAUACAAAAGAAACAAUUUGAAUGCAAAACUGUUUUGAAUGGCAGCAGUUGGGCAACUUUGAAAAAUCACCAUAAAUGGUGAAAAAUGAAUUGGAGGUUGAAUAAAACAUGAAAUUGAAGCUGAAUGAGUCUAUUUUCAUAAGAAAUAAGUGGGGAAAGCAAAGGAAUUAUAUAUUUGAGGAUAUUUAAAUUUUACUGAGACAGGGUUGGAUUGAAUUCGAAAUCCCCUGUUCCAACUUUGGAAAAUCACCAAAGAUUCUAAAAAAAUAAUUAUGGCUUGAAAUUUAUAUUUCUGGAUUCCUUUUUGAGUCUAUUUUUAAUAGAAACAAACGAGAACAUUUUUUGAAACUUGUAUAGAGAGUUAUGUGAAUUUUUGUAAGGGGAGGUCAGGACUGUCGGGUAGUGAAACAGGGGAAACUUUAAUGAAUAAACUGUACUAAUUGGCCAACCAAAAAUUCCGAAAAUUUUAUGGUGGAAAUAUAUAUGAAUCUAGUUUCAGGGAAAAUUUACGGAAUCUGAUUUGGAGCCCUGUAGCUCCCGAUAAAAAUAAAUUAGUGACCAUGACGCAGAAAUACUGCUUGCUGGAAUUUGACCAAAUAAUGAAAUUUAUUUGUGAUAAAAGUUAUAUUUUGGUGUAAUCAUGUGGGAAAUUUAUCUACUUGUCAUAUGUUUACUUACUAAGCUAUAUGCUUACUUGCUUUUAUUUUUCCCUUGAUUAUAGUGAUAUCCAUCAACUUGGAAUUGGGACGGAGUCGGACAAUCAUCCACACUAUCAUCCGCGUUUGGGUAUUUUGCUACUGGUAUUCCGGAAAUUAUGGCAUGUAUAGACGACUUUAUGUAAUGUGGCGUCACUGUAUAUAUAUAUGUUAUGGUUCGAGCUAAAAUGUGGCGUUUAUAAAUAGUUAAAUUGUGUAUCUUUAUACAACUGUUUUGAUUGGAAAUUUGAAUUGUGGUUGGAAAUUGCAGGAGGUUUAAGCAAAAACAAGCAGAAAUGCUGUCGAAAUUUUUUUAAAAAAAAUUUAGUAAUACCUCGUACUCUGUUCCGGUAAGGAAUACGAGUAAAGGGUGUUACAUUUUAGUGGUAUCAGAGCUACGGUUUAGUCGGUUCUCGGGCCAAUAAAAUAUGUGUGAAAGUCAGUCUAUACAUGCCAUAAAUAUAUUGUGAUAGUGUGAUGAUUUCUGACAAUUUAAAAUUUUGUUUUAUAUAGUAAAUGGAUCCUGAGCGAAGUGUGACAGAUGAUGUUGAAAGUAACGCGCCGGCUCCCGGACAAGGGACCGCGCAUGAAGAGAGUAGACAUGAGACACAUGGACAGGAUGAGGCUCGGGAAGCCUUCCUCCGGAUGAUGAGUAUUGGUAUACAGAAUAUGUCCGUGUAAAUCCGAAUGUUCCACCUCCUCCACCCCCUCCUAUUCCUCAACCGGUCCCCGUAGCUCCACGAAGUGCUGAAUUGGUGAGAUCAAGUAAACCACCCGUUGACAGAAUUCGAAAGCAUGGGGCUGAAGAUUUCUGGGCUAAUGUUGAUGAUGAUUCGGAAAAAGUCGAGUUUUGGCUUGAAAAUACUAUCCGGGUAUUUGAUGAAUUAUCUUGUACUCCCGAGGAAUGUUUGAAAUGUGCUGUGUCUUUAUUAGAGGUGCUCAUGAGCCGAGCCGGGCCGGGUUCGAGCUAGGCCCAUAAAAAAAUUUCGGCCCGGAUCCUAGGCCGGGCCCGGCCCGGCCCGAAAUAUGGGCCUAAGAUUUUGCCCAGGCCCGGCCCGGGAAAAAAAUCAUAAGCCCGGGCCCGGCCCGGCCCGGCCCAUUUUUAUUUUAAAAAUUUUUAAAAAUUAAAAAAAGUAUUUUAAAAAUAUUUUAAAAUUAAAAAAAUUAAAAAAAGUAUUUUAAAAUUAAAAAAAUUAAAAAAAGUAUUUUAAAAAUAUUUUAAAAUUUAAAAAAAUUAAAAAAGUAUGUAAAAAAUAUUUUAAAAUUAAAAAAAUAAAUAUAUUUAUUAUAUCGGCCCGGCCCGGGCCGAAAAAGUGGUGCCCGAGGCCUGGCUCGUUUUCUAAACGGGCCUCGUUUUUUUGCCCAAGCCCAUAUUUCAGGCCUAUAUUUUUACCCAAACCCUCCCAUAUUUCGGGCGGGCCAUCGGGCCGGGCCGGGCCGCCCGGCCCAUGAGCACCUCUAGUCUUUAUUGAAGGAUUCGGCAUACCGUUGGUGGAAAACAUUAAUAACGGUGGUUCCAAAAGAAAGAGUUACUUGGGACUUCUUUCAGGAAGAAUUCAGAAAGAAAUAUGUAAGCCAACGGUUUAUUGAUCAGAAGCGCAAAGAGUUUCUCGGAUUGAAACAGGGCCGAAUGUCAGUAGCAGAAUAUGAAUUGGAGUUUGUCCGGCUUAGUAAAUAUGCCCAGGAAUGUGUGCCUACGGAGGCUAUUAUGUGUAAAAGAUUUGAAGAGGGGCUAAAUGAAGACAUCAGAUUGCAUGUUGGAAUUUUAGAGUUAAAAGAAUUUGUGGUAUUAGUUGAUUGUGCCUGCAAAGCUGAAGAGCUGAGUAGAGAAAAGAGAAGGGCAGAGAUGGAAGCUCGAGAUGUAAGGAAGAGGUCAAUGGGCAGAACAUUUCAAUCUCACCCGAAGAAGUUUAAAGGGAUGGAUCCACGACCAACUGGUUCAGUUGGGUAUUCACGUAGAGACCGAGGGAGGUCAUAUUCUGGAACUACAACUCGAGCUACCUCAGUGGCAAGUGUGGGUAAUGUAGGAAACACCAGACCUGAAUGUCAACAGUGUGGCAGGCGACAUACUGGUGAGUGUUGGGGAUUUAAAUGAGCUUGUUUCAGAUGUGGUUCCCAAGAGCAUUAUGUAAAAGACUGCCCUGAGAGAAUAGAAGAAGAAAAAUUACAAAGAGCUGGAUCGGGUGAUGUUGUCAGUAGAGGCAGACCACCGAGAAAUGUGGGAAGCAAAGCCAGUGGUAAGAGUGUGAUAAAAGAUGCAGCUGGAGGAUCAGAAACUAGAGCGCCUGCUAGGACUUAUGCCAUACGCGCUCGAGAGGAUGCCUCAUCUCCCGAUGUGAUUACUGGUACAUUUUCUCUUCAUGAUAUUGAUGUUAUUGCUUUGAUUGACCCGGCUCUACUCAUUCGUAUGUAUGCAUGAAUUUGGUAUCUAGUAAGAAAUUUCCUGUUGAAAACACUGAAUUUGUAGUUAAAGUAUCAAAUCCUUUAGGCAAAUGUGUCUUAGUCGAUAAGGUUUGCAAGAAUUGUCCCCUGAUGAUUCAAGGUCACUGUUUCCCGGCUAAUUUGAUGUUGUUACCAUUUGAUGAGUUUGAUAUUAUUUUGGGGAUAGAUUGGUUGAUAUUGCAUGAUGCCAAGGUAAAUUGUAGACAGAAAAUUCUUGAAUUAAAUUGUGAAAACGGUGAAAUUCUCCGGGUUGAAACAAAGGAGCUGAAUAAGUUGCCUAUGGUGAUCUCGCACAUGUCUGCUCAGAAAUACUUGAGAAAGGGAUGUGAAGUUUAUCUUGCUUAUGUGCUGAACACGGAUAUUACUGGGUCGAAGCUUGAAUCAGUGCCGGUAGUUUGUGAAUUUCCAGAUGUAUUUCCAGAGGAAUUGCCUGGGUUACCUCCGAUUAGAGAAGUUGAGUUUUCUAUUGAUCUGUUACCUGGUACUGCACCGAUUUCUAUUGCACCGUAUCGAAUGGCUCCGACUGAGUUGAAGGAAUUGAAAGCUCAGUUACAAGAGUUGACAGAUAAAGGAUUUGUGAGACCGAGUUUUUCUCCUUGGGGUGCUCCUGUGUUAUUUGUGAAAAAGAAGGACGGCUCUAUGAGACUUUGUAUUGACUAUCGUCAGCUCAACAAGGUGACUAUAAAGAACAAGUAUCCUUUGCCGAGAAUUGAUGAUUUAUUUGAUCAAUUAAAAGGGGCAACAGUGUUCUCUAAGAUCGAUUUGAGGUCUGGUUACUAUCAGUUAAGAGUUAAAGAGUCUGAUGUGCCGAAAACCGCCUUUAGAACAAGGUAUGGACACUAUGAAUUUCUGGUAAUGCCUUUUGGGUUAACAAAUGCUCCGGCUAUUUUUAUGGACUUGAUGAACUGAAUUUUUCGGCCGUACUUGGAUAAGUUCGUGGUGGUGUUCAUAGAUGAUAUUUUAAUCUAUUCUCGGGAUAAAUCUGAGCAUGCAGAACAUUUGAGAACUGUGUUGCAGAUUCUGAGAGAAAAGAAAUUGUAUGCUAAAUUCAGCAAAAGUGAGUUUUGGCUUCGUGAGGUUGGAUUCUUGGGACAUAUAGUUUCAAGUGAAGGUAUUCGGGUUGAUCCAAGCAAAAUUUCAGCAAUUGUUGAUUGGGAGCCACCAAAGAAUGUGACAGAAGUUAGAAGCUUUCUGGGCUUAGCUGGGUAUUACAGACGCUUUGUCAAGGGAUUUUCGAUGAUUGCUUCUCCUAUGACAAAGUUACUGCAGAAGAAUGUCAAGUUUGAAUGGACCGAUAAAUGUCAACAAAGUUUUGAAAAGUUGAAGGCAUUAUUGACUGAGGCGCCAGUGUUGGUGCAACCUGAGUCCGGGAAGGAGUUUGUAAUUUACAGUGAUGCAUCGUUGAAUGAUCUUGGGUGUGUGUUAAUGCAAGAGGGUAAAGUAAUAGCUUAUGCUUCGAGACAGUUGAAACCACAUGAGAAGAAUUAUCCGACGCAUGAUUUAGAAUUGGCUGCUAUUGUUUUUGCUUUAAAAAUUUGGCGUCAUUAUUUGUAUGGUGAAAAGUGCCGAAUCUUCACUGAUCAUAAGAGUUUGAAGUAUUUGAUGAGCCAAAAAGACUUGAAUUUGCGGCAACGAAGAUGGCUCGAGCUAAUUAAAGACUAUGAGCUAGUGAUUGAUUAUCACCCCGGGAAAGCUAAUGUGGUUGCUGAUGCCUUGAGCAGAAAAUCUUUAUUUACUUUGAGAGCUAUGAGUACGAGAUUAACUUUAUCUGAUGAUGGUUCAAUUUUGGCUGAAUUGAGAGUUAGACGUUAUUUCUUCAGCAGAUGCGGGAAGCUUAAAAGAAUGACAAUAAAUUGCAAGUCAGAAGAGCUCAGUGUGAAACAGGCUUUAAUUCAGAUUUUCAAAUUGGUUCAGAUGACUGCCUGAUGUUCCGAGAUAGAAUAUGUGUACCGAGAAAUGAUGAGCUAAUUCGGACCAUUUUAUGUGAGGCACACAAUGGUUGUUUAUCAGUCCAUCCAGGUAGUGUGAAAAUGUAUAAUGAUUUGAAGAAGUUGUACUGGUGGCCGGGCAUGAAAAAGGAUAUCUCGGAAUUUGUAUCGAAUUGUUUAAUUUGUCAACAAGUGAAAGCUGAGCAUCAAGUACCAUCGGGUUUACUUCAGCCGAUAACGAUUCCAGAGUGGAAGUGGGACAGUAUUACGAUGGAUUUUGUGACAGGAUUGCCUUUAACUCCAAAGAAGAAAGAUGCUAUUUGGGUAAUUGUUGAUAGAUUGACAAAGUCAGCCCAUUUUAUUCCGAUACGCAUUGAUUACUCACUUGACAGGUUGGCGGAAUUAUAUGUUGCUGAAAUAGUGAGAUUACACGGGGUGCCUAAAUCUAUUAUAUCGGAUAGAGAUCCGAGAUUUACUUCGAGGUUUUGGAUAAAGUUGUAGGAAGCCUUGGGUACGAAAUUGAAUUUUAGUACUGCGUUUCAUCCGUAAACUGACGGGCAAUCAGAAAGAGUGAUUCAAGUUCUUGAAGACAUGCUCCGAUGUUGUAUUUUAGAAUUGGAAGGCAGUUGGGAGAAAUAUCUACCAUUGGUUGAAUUUGCUUAUAACAAUAGCUAUCAGUCAAGUAUACGAAUGACACCGUAUGAAGCAUUAUAUGGGCGUAAGUGUAGAACUCCUUUAUAUUGGACUGAGCUCGGUGAGAACCAGAUUCAUGGAGUUGACUUGGUGAAAGAAACUGAAGAAAAGGUGAAAAUAAUUCGUGACUGUUUAAAGGCUGCUUCAGAUCGGCAAAAGUCGUAUGCAGAUUUAAAGAGGAAAGAAAUUGAGUUUCAAGUGGGUGAUAAAGUAUUCUUGAAAGUAUCUCCAUGGAAAAAGAUUCUGAGAUUUGGUCGUAAAGGCAAAUUGAGUCCACGUUUUAUUGGACCAUAUGAAGUUAUUGAAAGAGUUGACCCUGUAGCUUAUCGGUUAGCUUUACCGCCGGAGUUGAAAAAAUACAUAAUGUAUUUCAUGUGUCGAUGUUGCGACGUUAUCGUUCGGAUCCUUCACAUAUAGUUUCUCCUACAGAGAUUGAGGUUCGACCAUAUAUGACUUAUGAGGAGGAACCGAUAAAAAUUCUGGCUCGGGAGGUCAAACAGUUAAGGAAUAAAAGUGUAGCCUUAGUGAAAGUGUUGUGGCAGAAACAUGGAAUGGAAGAGGCUACGUGGGAACCGGAGGAAAUUAUGAGGAAACAGUACCCAAACCUCUUUUCCGGUAAGAUUUUCGGGGACGAAAAUCCCUAAGGGGGGAGAGUUGUAACAGCCCGAUUCUAGGCCUAGUCGGAAUAGUGGUUUCGAGACCACAAAUCCGACGAGGGAAAAUAUGGUUAUUAUUAUAUUUUUAUGGUCUACAAUUUCACGGAAAAUUUUCGUAAAAAUUUCGUUCGAAAAUUUUGACGUUUGGGCACUCAAUUUAGUCAAAAGGACUAAAUUUUAAAAAGUGCAAAAGUUGAGUUCUAUAUGUAGAAGUGUCUAAUUGAUAUGAAAUUAUAAGUUGCGGGUCCUUAUGUGGUAAUUAGACCCUUAGUAAUUGAUGGACAAAAUAGACCUAAGAAAUGAGAGAAAUAGAUUUUUUUUAAGUGGGGGCAUUUUAGUCAUUUGGUUAUAAAAAGAAUAAAAUGGGAAAAAGAUGACAAAAAUCAUCAUCUUCUCCAUAAGUUGCUGCUGAAUUUUAAGGGACACCAUAGCUAAGGUUUCUUUGCUUUCUCAAGCUCAUAGUAAGUGCAUCCUAGCCCCGUUUUUAAUGUUCUUUGCAUUUUUGAAAUCCUCGUAGCUCGGUUUAGCUUAUUUUACUGUUAAUUCAUGUUAGGGUUUAUAUUUGGAAAAAUACCCAUAGGUGAAAAGUGUUUAUUUUGCUGUUUUAUGGUGGAAUAUGAAGCUAGAAAUUAUGUUAAACAACUUUUGCUAAGCGAUUUUAAACGAAAACGAGUAAAUUGACAUAAUCGGUAAAAAUAGUUAAUGUUCAAAAGUAUGUGUUAGAGUGAGAAUUUGAUGUUGCCAUAGAAGGGAAAAAUAUUCAGCAUGUCAUAAGACAUAAGAAUAAGUGAUGAAAUUUAAUUUCCGAGCUUGGGGACAAAAAUGUAAUUAUGCAAAAGUUUGGGGGCAAAAUUGUAAUUUUUCAAAACUUUGGGUGGAGGAUUAUUUUAAUAAAUGUGAACCUUAAAUAAGUUAAAUUUGUUAUUAUAGAUCAAGAAAGACGAGAGGACUACCUCAAACGAGGAAAAGAAAAGAAGUGGAAUAAAUUGCAAAAUUACGAUAUUUUGCACCGAGGUAAGUAAACACGUGACUUAAUGUAUUAUUUUGGUAUUAUUUGAUUGAGAUUUAUUUGAAUAUAAAAUAAAUGUUUGGCAAGAUUCCAAAAAUGUCGUUAAAUUGGGAAAGGUGGUAAGGAGUUGCAAAACACGGUUUUUGGUUGAACACUCGGAAUAGGCCGAGCAUAUUGCAUAUAAAGGGGUUGUUGUGUGCUGAUUCCCCUAUUCAUUGGUGGUUGCUAAGUGCUGAUUCCACCGUAUUUUAAAUGUGGAAGGGGGUUGCUAAGUGCUGAUUCCCCCGAGGGGUUGCUAAGUGCUGAUUCCCCUACCUAUUGGUGGUUGCUAAGUGCUGAUUCCACCGUAUUUUAAAUGUGAAAGGGGGUUGCUAAGUGCUGAUUCCCCUGAGGGGUUGCUAAGUGCUGAUUCCCCUACCUAUUUGGUGGUUGCUAAGUGCUGAUUCCACCGCAUCUGAAAUGUGAAGGGGGUUGCUAAGUGCUGAUUCCCCCAAGGGGUUGCUGUGUGCUGAUUCCCCGAUUCAUUGGUGGUGCUAAGUGCGGAAUCCACCAACAACGGUUAACAUUCCGAGUGUUCAACGAGUAAAUUGAGAAGGUGAAUAUUCAUAUAUGUGGUGGACGAGUUUAUGGGAGGAAUAUCGGGUUUGAUACUUAAUCAACCCAUGUAUAAGAUGGGAGGAAAAAUCAAAAAUACAAAAGAAACAAUUUGAAUGCAAAACUGUUUUGAAUGGCAGCAGUUGGGCAACUUUGAAAAAUCACCAUAAAUGGUGAAAAAUGAAUUGGAGGUUGAAUAAAACAUGAAAUUGAAGCUGAAUGAGUCUAUUUUCAUAUGAAAGAAGUGGGGAAAGCAAAGGAAUUAUAUAUUUGGGGAUAUUUAAAUUUUACUGAGACAGGGUUGGAUUGAAUUCGAAAUCCCCUGUUCCAACUUUGGAAAAUCACCAAAGAUUCUAAAAAAAUAAUUAUGGCUUGAAAUUUAUAUGUCUGGAUUCCUUUUUGAGUCUAUUUUUAAUAUAAACAAACGAGAACAUUGUUUGAAACUUGUAUAGAGAGUUAUGUGAAUUUUUGUAAGGGGAGGUCAGGACUGUCGGGUAGUGAAACAGGGGAAACUUUAAUGAAUAAACUGUACUAAUUGGCCCAACCAAAAAUUCUGAAAAUUUUAUGGUGGAAAUAUAUAUGAAACUAGUUUCAGGGAAAAUUUACGGAAUCUGAUUUGGAGCCCUGUAGCUCCCGAUAAAAAUAAAUUAGUGACCAUGACGCAGAAAUACUGCUUGCUGGAAUUUGACCAAAUAAUGAAAUUUAUUUGUGAUAAAAGUUAUAUUUUGGUGUAAUCAUGUGGGAAAUUUAUCUACUUGUCAUAUGUUUACUUACUAAGCUAUAUGCUUACUUGCUUUUAUUUUUCCCUUGAUUAUAGUGAUAUCCAUCAACUUGGAAUUGGGACGGAGUCGGACAAUCAUCCACACUAUCAUCCGUGUUUGGGUAUUUUGCUACUGGUAUUCCAGAAAUUAUGGCAUGUAUAGACGACUUUAUGUAAUAUGGCGUCACUGUAUAUAUAUAUGUUAUGGUUCGAUCUAAAAUGUGGCGUUUAUAAAUAGUUAAAUUGUGUAUCUUUAUACAACUGUUUUGGUUGGAAAUUUGAAUUGUGGUUGGAAAUUGCAGGAGGUUUAAGCAAAAACAAGCAGAAAUGCUGUUGAAAUUUUUUUAAAAAAAAUUUAGUAAUACCUCGUACUCUGUUUCGGUAAGGAAUAAGAGUAAGGGGUGUUACAAGCAACAUCAAAACCUUCAUAAUUAAACACUCUUGAAAAGUUGCCUACACACCCUCUUUACUCAUCCUUAGGUUAAAACAUGUUCUUAUCACCCCUAAACACCACCAGUCAAAAUCAUAUCUUACUCGAGUUGAAAAAACCUCCUAGUUGAAGAGAAGACAAUCGAAAUCAUCCUUAACCCACCAACCCUUACCCAACAUGGAUCAAGAGGACACUGGACAUGAUUCCAUAAUAAGCUUGUUAAAAUCCCUCAAGAAAGGAAAGCUGGAUCGGCAGCAUUCAACAGUGUUCCUCAUCAGUUAUGGCCGUCGAUGAUGAACCCCAGCCCCCUCAGCCUUUCGAGUUCACAUCCUGAUUUCGCUUGGAUUUCGUUUCGAUGAUAGUUUUUAGAGACAACUUGUGUUUCAUCACAUUCUUUAGUUCAGGAGUUCUCUACUAAUCAGUUACAUUCUUUCUAUUUGUACGGACAAUCUUGUCAUAUACAUGCUCAACCAUUAGGGAAUUCGAUUUUGUUGCCUAAUUUCUUUUUGUUGAUGCUUUGCUCUCAAUUCUUUUCACAUUUUUUCAAAUCAUAGAUAUAGGUUACAACUACGUGGCAUAGCUUUUAAAUCAUUAUUUGUCACGAUAAUAAUAUUUCACAUGUUGAUUAUUUUUAAAAAAAUUAAUUCAAGGUAAAUUCCUUAUAAAUAUUUUCAUGUAAUUGUUGAUGCUCUAAAUGUUGAUAUGCAUGAAUAUAUUAAAUAUACACUAAAAAUAUAAAAUUAAACUUAAUUAUAAGAAAUAUAAACUAUAAAGCAAAUUGAAGCAUUUUAAUAAAGAUUGAUUAAAGUAAAUAUAUUUCAAAAUCUUAAUUAAUUUAAACAAAACUCAAUUAUAAGAAAAAAAAUAUUAAUUUCUUUUUCAAACUCUAACAAAUUUAUGGGAAAAUUGAAUGUUCCAUAUUCUUAUCCUUGGAAUGGAAAUGCUGGGAUAUUAUGGGAAAAGAAAUAUUGACAAAUAGUCGCACAAGCCAACGACGAAAUUGAUUCUUCUCUUUAACGACAAAAGCAAAGACCUAAGAAAGUAUACCACAAAGAGUGGAGUAAAGUGAAGCAAACUCGAGGGUUUUCUUGUAAUGGAUGUGAGUGAGUGUGAGAGUAGGACAGAGGGGGAGACCAUGGAACUUCAACAUUUCAGUCAUCCACAUCCUUUGGUCUCCUUCAAAUAUCAGACUGUUGCACGCGAAGAAGUAGACCCGGAAGCAGCUCUGGCUGCAAUCAAUGUGAGUUUUAUCUUCAUAAGGGAUGUGCUGAGUUAGAGUUAGCCCCCAAGAUUCAGAAUCCCUUCCACCCCAAACACCCUCUCACUCUUUUGCCAAAUUCACCUCAGUCUAGGUCAGGAUUUUGCGAUUUGUGUGGUAAGAAUUAUGGGGGAUUUGUUUAUUAUUGUAAUGAUUGUAAUUUCGAUCUGCACAUCAAUUGUGCUUUGCUUCAAUCAUCCAUUGCUGCAAAUUUUCCUAAUUCUUUGCACCCCCAUUCUUUACAUUUCAUUCAAAACUAUAACAAGGAAGUUGAGCCUGAUUGCCCCGGGUGUCAAAAACCAAUAUCUGGUCCACUUUACCACUGUUCAGAUUGCACUUAUCCUACAUUCUUUAACCUUCAUAAGGAAUGUGCUGAACUACCCCUUGAGAUUAAUCACCCCUGUGACCGUAAGCAUCCUCUUACUCUCUUGCCACAACCGCCAACUCAUCCC
rnacentral:lncRNA from 1 species